rnacentral:rRNA from 1 species
GUAAAACUAAUAAUAAUAAUAGAAGAGAUUAAAUGUUAUACCAUUAAAUUUAAAAGAUUUGGCGGUACUUUUUAUUUAGAGGAACCUGUGUAGUAAUUGAUGUACCACGAUAAGAAAUACUUAAAGUUUAGCUUAUGUAUUGCUGUUUUCAGUAUUUAAUUAAUUUAGGUUUAUACAAUUUAGUAAAGUUAAGAAAUUCAAGUCAAAAUAUAGUUUUUUUAAGAUUAACAUGGGUUACAUUAGAUUAGAUUUAAAUAGUUGAAUUAAAAAUUUUAAUUUUUUUAUGAAAAUGGAUUUAAAAGUAAAAUUAAUAAAUUAAUUAAUUUGAAUAAAGAAGUUAAGUACGU